ACGGCUCAGUAACACGUAGCUAAUCUGCCCUUGGGACCGGAACACCCCCGGGAAACUGGGGCUAAUUCUCGAUAGGUGAAGAACUCUGGAAUGAGUCUUUGCCAAAAAGACGUUUGCGUUAUGCUCGUAGGCGUCGCCCAAGGAUGAGGCCGCGACCGAUCAGGUUGUUGGUGAGGUAAUGGCUCACCAAGCCUUUUACCGGUGCGGGCCGUGAGAGCGGGAGCCCGGAGAUGGGCACUGAGACAAGGGCCCAGGCCCUACGGGGCGCAGCAGUCGCGAAAACUUUGCAAUACACGAAAGUGUGACAGGGCUAUCCCGAGUGCCAUCCGCUGAGGAAGGCUUUUACCCAGUCUAGAACGCUGGGGGAAUAAGGAGAGGGCAAGUCUGGUGUCAGCCGCCGCGGUAAUACCAGCUCUCCGAGUGGUGUGGAUGUUUAUUGGGCCUAAAGCAUCCGUAGCUGGCUAAGUUAGUCCCUUGUUAAAUCCACCGAAUUAAUCGUUGGAUUGCGGGGGAUACUGCUUAGCUAGGGGACGAGAGAGGCAGACGGUAUUUCCGGGGUAGGGGUGAAAUCCUAUAAUCCCGGGAAGACCACCAGUGGCGAAGGCUGUCUGCUAGAACGCGCCCGACGGUGAGGGAUGAAAGCUGGGGGAGCGAACCGGAUUAGAUACCCGGGUAGUCCCAGCUGUAAACGAUGCACGCUAGGUGUUUGGACGGCCACGUGCCGUUCUAGUGCCGCAGGGAAGCUGUUAAGCCUGCCGCCUGGGGAGUACGAUCGCAAGAUUGAAACUUAAAGGAAUUGGCGGGGGAG
rnacentral:rRNA from 1 species